CACACACACACACCUGCACACAGAUUUUACAAUCCAAAUUUCUUGGAAAUGUUGAUGGUCAGCCAAGAACACUGCUGGAGGAUGUGUGUAAGGGUUCUGCUGUUAUCAUGGAGUCCCUCUGUGUAUGUUACAGUCAGGAUGAGCAGAUAAUCAACAGUGUCAUGUUUUGGCCUGAGAUAAAUACAACCGUCUUCUAAAGCAGCGCUCAAGAGCAUCAGAUGAGAGCUGCUGGUCCGUCAGUCUGCCAGCUGCAGCAGGUGGGAAGUGCUAGCACAGCGGCUAACAGCUGAUCUCGAUGGGCGGAGCCAACGGCUCGAAUAGCGUCAAGAAUGUCCUCCAUCCUCUGACGUCGCAGCCACGUUGGCUGGGUACUGCAGUAUACGUCAACGAGUCCGCCAUAUUGGAAAGGGCGGAUUUAGUUCUGGGUGUGGACUGAUGAAACUAGAGCUCCUGCGAUCCGAUUUGGAGCUCAGUGAUAGGUGGAGAGAAAAAGGCGUAUCCAAUCAGGCAUCCAGAAAUUGUACCAGCUCCGAUUGUCUUCCGUGCCAUGAAGAUUUUGGACAUUCACUGAGAUGAGGCCAACCAUGUGAGGAUCCUGAGGCAUCUUUACCAGCUCCAGUUGGACUCAUGAAGUAUUCAGACAUACUAAGAGGAGAUGCCAACUCCAUGUGGUCUUUGUGGACAACAACCUCCUGAUCAAUACAACAUUUGUCAGACUUGUAUAUUUUCACACCUUCGUGUGUCACCCAUAUGAGGACGAGGUUCCCCUUUGAGUCUGGUUCCUCUCAAGGUUUCUUCCUUUACCAUCCAAGGAAGCUUAUGCUGCCACAGUUGCCUGAGUCACCUCAGACUUGCCCAUUGGA